AUUGAACGCUGGCGGCAGGCCUAACACAUGCAAGUCGAACGAGUGGCGGACGGGUGAGUAGUGUCUGGGAAACUGCCUGAUGGAGGGGGAUAACUACUGGAAACGGUAGCUAAUACCGCAUACCAUCGGAUGUGCCCAGAGGGGAUUAGCUAGUAGGGGGGGUAAAGGCUCACCUAGGCGACGCUCCCUAGCUGGGCUGAGAGGAUGACCGGCCACACGGGAACUGAGACACUGUCCAGAAUACUACGGGAGGCAGCAGGGGGGAAUAUUGCACAAUGGGCGCAAGCCGGAUGCAGCCAUACCGCGUGUAUGAAGAAGGCCUUCGGGUUGUAAAGUACUUGCCGCGGUGAGGCGUUACCCGCAGAAGAAGCACCGGCUAACUCCGUGCCAGCCGCCGCGGUAAUAC
rnacentral:rRNA from 1 species